UACGGGGGGGGCAAGCGUUGUUCGGAAUUACUGGGCGGAAAGGGCUCGUAGGUGGCCAACUAAGUCAGACGUGAAAUCCCUCAGCUUAACUGGGGAACUGCGUCUGAUACUGGAUGGCUUGAGUUUGGGAGAGGGAUGCGGAAUUCCAGGUGUAGCGGUGAAAUGCGUAGAUAUCUGGAGGAACACCGGUGGCGAAGGCGGCAUCCUGGACCAACACUGACACUGAUGAGCGAAAGCCAGGGGAGCAAGCGGG
rnacentral:rRNA from 1 species